rnacentral:rRNA from 1 species
CCUACGGGAGGCAGCAGUGAGGAAUAUUGGUCAAUGGGCGAGAGCCUGAACCAGCCAAGUCGCGUGAAGGAUGACGGCCCUACGGGUUGUAAACUUCUUUUGUAAGGGAGCAAUUGAGUCCACGUGUGGUCUUAGCGAGAGUACCUGAAGAAAAAGAAUCGGUCAACUCCGUGCCAGAGGCCGCGGUAAUCCGGGGGACGCGAUCGUUACCCGGAUUGAUUGGGUUUAAGGGGUGCGUGGGCGGAAUAUCAAGUCGGGGGUAAAGAUUGUGGGCUCAACCCCGUAUUGCCGUUGAAACUGGUGUGCUUGAGUGGGCGAGAAGCAGGCGGAAUGCGUGGUGUAGCGGUGAAAUGCUUAGAUAUCACGCAGAACUCCGAUUGCGAAGGCAGCAUACCGGCGCCCAACUGACGCUGAUGCACGAAAGCGUGGGUAUCGAACAGGAUUAGAUACCCGGGUAGUC